GCCUGACUGGCUCAGUCAGUAGAGCAUGUGACUCUUGAUCUCGGGGUCAUGAGUUCAAGCCCCAUGUUGGGCA
rnacentral:tRNA from 1 species